GCUCAGAUUGAACGCUAGCGGGAUGCCUUACACAUGCAAGUCGAACGGCAGCACGGACUUCGGUCUGGUGGCGAGUGGCGAACGGGUGAGUAAUGUAUCGGAACGUGCCUAGUAGCGGGGGAUAACUACGCGAAAGCGUAGCUAAUACCGCAUACGCCCUACGGGGGAAAGCAGGGGAUCGUAAGACCUUGCACUAUUAGAGCGGCCGAUAUCGGAUUAGCUAGUUGGUGGGGUAAUGGCUCACCAAGGCGACGAUCCGUAGCUGGUUUGAGAGGACGACCAGCCACACUGGGACUGAGACACGGCCCAGACUCCUACGGGAGGCAGCAGUGGGGAAUUUUGGACAAUGGGGGAAACCCUGAUCCAGCCAUCCCGCGUGUGCGAUGAAGGCCUUCGGGUUGUAAAGCACUUUUGGCAGGAAAGAAACGCCGCGGGUUAAUACCCUGCGGAACUGACGGUACCUGCAGAAUAAGCACCGGCUAACUACGUGCCAGCAGCCGCGGUAAUACGUAGGGUGCAAGCGUUAAUCGGAAUUACUGGGCGUAAAGCGUGCGCAGGCGGUUCGGAAAGAAAGAUGUGAAAUCCCAGAGCUUAACUUUGGAACUGCAUUUUUAACUACCGAGCUAGAGUGUGU
rnacentral:rRNA from 2 species